CCUAAGCCUCAGGCCUCGGCCUGCAGGUUUCACAGAACAUCUGAUCUUCUUCUUGGAGUCUGUCCUACACAUCCAGCAUACCAACAGAGGGACAAUGUGGCAUUUGAGACGCAACUUCGCCUGCAGAUCCCGACCCUCCCGGUAUCAGGAAAAGGCUUCUUGGUCCUGGGAAGAAGAGGGUCUCUGGGAACCAAUGCAGGAUAGCCACUGGGACCUGCAGGAUGGCAGGAGCUCUUGGAGGCUGCAUGAAGACGUUGGCCAGUGUGCGGCUUGCUCCGGGCGACAAAAACCAAGUUGUUCCCCUUCACCCUUGACGCCAGAACUCCUAGGCCAUGCCCCUGCCCAGUGAACUGAGGAUAACCAUGUCUGGCCUGGCUCUGCCCUCCAGCUUGCCUUUCCAAGGCCUCAAUUGAAAGCAUUCUGGAUCCAAAUCCACACCAGGAGACAACGGCCACUCCCUCUUCUGUGCCCUGUUCCUUCUAUUCCUUUCCUGGCCCACCUAUGUAAUGCUUGGAGAGGAUUUUCCCCACUGCCAUUCACACCAUCCUCUCUCACCAAUCCUGGCACCCAGUCCACCUUCCUUAACAAGUUUUGUUCAUGUGUUGAAUAGCAAAGGGCAAAGGAGGUCCACAUCCUCAUGCCUGCCAUCACCACCCUAAUUUUAGCUCCUCAUGGUCUGUAAGAAGUUUAUGGUUGAGAGACCCAAUGAGUAUGGGAAAAGGCAUUGGGUGCUGCUGCCAAGAAGAUGCAGUGAUCCUCACAGAGGACAGGGAGCCCUCAGCCCCCUAGGAGCUAGGCAAGCCAUGUGUGAACCAUGGUGGGUUGGAGGAGCAGCAGAGGUCCCCUGCUCAGCCUGGGAACGGGAGCAGUCUUAGGCCUACAGCUAGCCAGGCCAUGGCCCAGAAUUAUACCCAGGAAAGGAAAAAGCAUAGAAAGGCACAAAGCCUAGAAGACAGAAGGAUCAUAGCUUAGUAACUGCAGAGGGUGGCAUGAGGAGUUGAAAGUGGGCCUGCAAUGGGGGUUAGAUUACAGGGGACUGCAAAGGCCAUGCUAAACUCAGUUCAGACUCAAGAGUAACAUUAAUGACUAAAAGUUACUAAGCACAGAUUUAAAACUUCUUAAGUCUAAUGUUUUCUGAGAACUACAGAAUCGUAUCACCCUUUGUGUUGGUAAUGUUGAAAAUUAACAAGAACAGGGGCGGAGCCUGUAGCUCAAGGAAUAGGGCGCAGGUCCCAUAUGCCGGAGGUGGCGGGUUCAAACCCAGACCUGGCCAAAAACCACAAAAAAAUAAAAAAAAUAAGAAAAUUAACAAGAACAAUAAAUGUUUUUUAUGUUUAAAAAAAAAAAAAAACUUCUUAAGUCUACAGAAGCCUUAUUUCCAGCAGCGCCUGGAAACACUGAUACUCUCUAGGUAACCCUUUAUUACUGACAAGGC